ACACGCCUCCUCUCUUGUCUCUCUCUCUCUUUCGUUUUUCCUCCUAUCAACUAGGGUUGUGGCAACCGCCGCCGCCCCAUCGCCCCUCUGGCGCUGCCCAUCGGAGAAAGGCCUGCCUCGAGCCCCCCACCCCUUCCUCAUUUCCUCUCCCAUGACACGCAACCUCUCAUUCCUCUUCUUCCCCUGAUCUGGUCGUUCCAAUUCUUGGCAAUCGGGAGGAGGCAGCCAGUGGAUGGGAAGGCCGGGCGGAAGAGAAGGAUGAGGGGACGCGGCUGCGAGUACGCCACCAGCCGUGCGGAUUGGAUGGGAAGAGAAGUCGGCGGCGGUGGCGGUUUCGAUCUCUGAUCUGCCACCAGCGCCGCCGCAGGGACGGGUGAAAGCAUCUGAGAUGGCUGCAGGGGCGGCGCGGGCCCGGGCUCGGGCAGCCACCAUGGCGUCGAAUGCACCGGCGGGGGCCUCUUCCUCGUAGCAAGGCGUGGCCCUGCUCUUCCUCAUAGCGCUGAUGACAAGGCGGGCGGCGCCGCGAGCUCUCGUCCCGAGGAAGCCGCGGGAGGACGAGGUCAAGACGGACCAGGUCGACGUGCCCCCCUGCCACACCCCUUCUUCUCCUACGGGUUGGUUGCUGCUGUUGCUGGUGUCGUUCGUGUCCGAUUCGAUCGGCCUGUGGUUUCCUGUUGUUGCGGCAGGUUGCAAGAUUUGUUGGAACCAAUUUUGAGAAGACUGAAUCUACCACGUAUCCAAAUGGAGCGGUUGCAAUCGUUAUAUACCUGGAAUGAUGCUUUUAUAUGUCUGAAUUUUCACAAGUAUUUCUAAACUUGGCCCUAGCGAAGUGGCAAGUGU